rnacentral:rRNA from 1 species
CCUACGGGCGGCAGCAGUGGGGAAUAUUGGACAAUGGGGGCAACCCUGAUCCAGCCAUGCCGCGUGUGUGAAGAAGGCCCUCGGGUUGUAAAGCACUUUCAGUGAGGAAGAACGCCUGGUGGUUAAUACCCAUCAGGAAAGACAUCACUCACAGAAGAAGCACCGGCUAACUCCGUGCCAGCAGCCGCGGUAAUACGGAGGGUGCGAGCGUUAAUCGGAAUUACUGGGCGUAAAGCGCGCGUAGGUGGCUUGAUAAGCCGGUUGUGAAAGCCCCGGGCUCAACCUGGGAACGGCAUCCGGAACUGUCAAGCUAGAGUGCAGGAGAGGAAGGUAGAAUUCCCGGUGUAGCGGUGAAAUGCGUAGAGAUCGGGAGGAAUACCAGUGGCGAAGGCGGCCUUCUGGACUGACACUGACACUGAGGUGCGAAAGCGUGGGUAGCAAACAGGAUUAGAUACCGAGUAGUC